rnacentral:rRNA from 1 species
GAUUAGUCGCCCUGGCCCGCUGGCUUAUGUCUGUGAGUGCUGGUGCGUACUAGUCAUCCUUCUAGCUUGCCAUGCGUACCGUUUAUUCGGCCGCGCGUGUGUGAACUAGAUCUUUUACUUUGAAAAAAUUAGAGUGUUUAAAGCAGGCUUACGCCGUGAAUACAUUAGCAUGGAAUAAUAAUAUAGGACUUUGGUUCUAUUUUGUUGGUUUCUAGGACUGAAGUA